rnacentral:rRNA from 1 species
GCACAACGCGAAGAACCUUACCCACCUUUGACAUGUACGGAAUCCUUUAGAGAUAGAGGAGUGCUCGAAAGAGAGCCGUAACACAGGUGCUGCAUGGCUGUCGUCAGCUCGUGUCGUGAGAUGUUGGGUUAAGUCCCGCAACGAGCGCAACCCUUGUCAUUAGUUGCUACGAAAGGGCACUCUAAUGAGACUGCCGGUGACAAACCGGAGGAAGGUGGGGAUGACGUCAAGUCCUCAUGGCCCUUAUGGGUAGGGCUUCACACGUCAUACAAUGGUCGGGACAGAGGGUCGCCAAGCCGCGAGGUGGAGCUAAUCUCACAAAACCGAUCGUAGUCCGGAUCGCAGUCUGCAACUCGACUGCGUGAAGUCGGAAUCGCUAGUAAUCGCGAAUCAGAAUGUCACGGUGAAUACGUUCCCGGGUCUUGUACACACCG